GUCAGCUAAUGGCAAAGAAAUCGAAAGGUUUUGACGCAAAGCUUCCGGCCUAAGGAAACCGGUGGACAGGAGUCCCAGAGGUUCUAGGGUAGCGGGGUUACCUGA
rnacentral:ncRNA from 1 species